rnacentral:rRNA from 1 species
AGCUCGUAGUUGGAUUUCUGCGGGGGACGAACGGUCCACCUUAUGGGUGAGUAUCUGUCAGGCCCUUGCAUCCUCGUGGGGAACGUCGCUGCGCUUUAUUGCGUGGUACGGAAUCCACGACUUUUACUUUGAGGAAAUUAGAGUGUUCACGGCAGGCAAACGCCCUGAAUAUGUUAGCAUGGAAUAAUAAUAUAGGACUUUGGUUUUAUUUUGUUGGUUUCUAGAACUAAAGUAAUGAUAAAUAGGGACAGUUGGGGGUAUUUGUAUUAAUGCGUCAGAGGUGGAAUUCUUGGAUUGCAUUACGACAAACUACUGCGAAAGCAUUUACCAAGGAUGUUUUCAUUGAUCAAGAACGAAAGUAUGGGGAUCGAAGACGAUUAGAUACCGUCGUUUUUUUAUACCAUAAACUAUGCCAACUAGGAAUCUUGGGGAUGUAUAAUCUAUGACUCCCAAGGCGCCUUAGAGAAAUUAAAGUUUUUGGGUUCCGGGGGGAGUAUGGUCGCAAGGCUGAAACUUAAAGGAAUUGACGGAAGGGCACCACCAGGAGUGGAGCCUGCGGCUUAAUUUGACUCAACACGGGAAAACUUACCAGGUCCAGACAUAGAUAGGAUUGACAGACUGAUAGCUCUUUCUUGAUUCUAUGGGUGGUGGUGCAUGGCCGUUCUUAGUUGGUGGAGUGAUUUGUCUGCUUAAUUGCAUUAACGAACGAGACCUUAAUCUGCUAAAUAGCUGAACGUAACUCCGGUUAUAUUCCUAGCUUCUUAGAGAGACUUUCAGCUUCAAGUUGAAGGAAGUUUGAGGCAAUAACAGGUCUGUGAUGCCUUUAGAUGUUCUGGGCUGCACGCGCGCUACACUGAUGCGUUCAACGAGUAUCAACCUUAGCAGACAUGCUUGGGUAAUCUUUUG